AGAAAUGUCACUCAGUAGUAAAGUGCUUGCCUAACAUGCAGGAGGCCCUGGGUUCAAAUCCUAGCACCACCA
rnacentral:tRNA from 1 species